AUAUGUUUCUGUGCUCAGUAAAUCUGUUCAUGAAAAUAAAUUACUCUUACAAUAAAUAGUAUAUUCCAUUUACUUCUCACAAUUAAAUCUGACUGUUAUAUUCCAUAUCAUUCAAAUAGUAUAAAAAAUUUAACUAUAUCAUAAUCCCUAAAUAAUAAAUUUGAUCCCAAAUCCACAAACAUCUGAAUAAUAAAUCCUAAACUAUAAUCACUAUACUCUAAAUCCUAAUCAGUAAACCCUAAAACCAAAUAUAAUCCAUAAACUCAUAUAUAAACUCUAAAUCUAAAUCUAAAUUUUGAAUACUAAACUUUAAACUGUUAUCACUAAAUCCAAAACUCAACCCCCACUUUCCAAAUACUAAACCCUAAAUCAUAAUCACUAAACCUUAAAUCCAUUUAUAGACCAAAAACCCAAGUAUAUACCCCAAACCUAAAUAGAAUGUAACAAAAUACAUAGUAUAGUAUAUAUUAGU
rnacentral:lncRNA from 1 species